GUUUACUGCUGACUAAAGGGACUAAGAUCGUUCCCGGGCUGUCGACUCCAUGGAGGAAAAGAGUUCUGGAUAAAGAGAAACGUAAAAUUCUGUUGCUCCCUUGUCCUGCUCGAGGAGACAGAGGUCAAGCGUAGCUGUGGAGUUCUACUUGGGGUCACCGCUGCACUGAGGUACAGCCCUUCAGAGAGUUCUAAUCGAGGUGGCUCCACCUUGCCUUUGCACCAAUCACAGAGAAGAAAAGGGACCCUCCAGGUGGCAGUAGGACCUUGCUCUCUGGCCAGGCUGAUAUCAGCCGCUGCGUAGAUUUUGUACAUGUAUAAUCAUUUCCAGGAUACUCACAUGCUACACAGAAUUGAAAGAUGCCCAAUUUUGCUAUUAAAAAAAUGAAGUUAUAAUUUUCUAGUGCAGAGUGACUGCACAGGAAGACUGUCAUAAGCAAUCUACAGGAGCGCUAACAGAAGAUAUGAAGAAACCAGAUUUCUAUACCAACUAAUGGAAAAUUAACCACUGGUGAGUCUAGUUUCAAUCCCAAAUCAAGGACACACAUGUUAGUACUGAUUCUGUCCACUCAGUUACAACAUUCCCAUUCCUGAACUAGAUUAGCUACUGAAAUUCUAAAAAUGCUCAUUUUCCUGGGUAUCCUCUUUUGUCAAAGGGUUUAGUAUUUAUUAUGUUAUUUACAAUAAUUGACAUUUACGAAAAGUGGAGAGACCAGAGAAAACAUUCCAUAGUAUGUAAGACCUUUAUCUCUUUUUAAAUGUCCUUAGUAGACUAUAAUACGAAGCAAUUAUAUUUAGAUCUUCAUGACUUGAAGGUGUCUUGAAUAUCUCUUAAUCUGCUUUCUCCCUUCAAAUUUCUUUCCAUUCUAAAGAGAACAUUUUUGCAUCUUAGUACUAAUCCUGUAGAAUUUAAAAAAAAACACGAAGAUUCUAUGUUUCAUACAUUUUGAAUUAAAAUUACCAAAGCAAUAAACCCUAUAAGGAUCAUUUUUUUUUCUUAUUUAAAUACUGGUACUUUCUAUUAACCCUAUUUCAAAUUUAGAGUUAUAUAUACAUUGUGAAGAUGUCCAUGUACACAAGUUUCUGCAGAACCUCCAAUUUAUUAUAAAACUUCUUCCUCACACACAUUAGAGAACUAUGUAUGUUCACUUUCACAUGUUUAAACAACCCAAGAAGGGUGGCAUAUUUUAAAGUUAACAACACUUUUUAUCAUUAUAAAAACAGACUGAGAUUUAAUGGUGACCCUAGCAUUUGGUUACUCUGACUGAUUAGCUAGGCUCCUGACUUUUUAUAUUCAUUAUUGUUGGCUAAUUUGACACUGGAUUGUACGUAUCACAUGCAUUUUUCCAGGAGAUAAAGAGGGAAUACAAAAACCGCAAAUUCUAAGCAGAUGAUUUUGCUACUUUUAGCACUUCUGGUAAAAGGGCUAGUUGAAGUUAAAGAGGGAAAGCUAUUAACAAAAAGAAAAGUAGGGGACAAGUUACCUGUGGAUUUCAUUUACUCACAUUUGGACUGGUCCUCCUUAUUGGAGGCUAACUGAAAACAGACCAGACCAUGACUUCUAGCUUUAUGUUGGUAACUUUCAA